UACGUAGGUGGCAAGCGUUGUCCGGAUUUACUGGGCGUAAAGGGCGUGCAGGCGGUCUGUUAAGUGCAGGGUGAAAGCUCCCGGCUCAACUGGGAGAGGUCCUUGCAUACUGGCGGACUUGAGGGGGGUAGAGGAAAGUGGAAUUCCCGGUGUAGUGGUGAUAUGCGUAGAUAUCGGGAGGAACACCUGUGGCGAAGGCGGCUCUCUGGGCCCUACCUGACGCUGAGACGCGAAAGCGUGGGGAGCGAACCGG
rnacentral:rRNA from 1 species